rnacentral:rRNA from 1 species
AGUCGGAGACGACACCCCGUUGCUGAGAAGUUGGUCAAACUUGGUCAUUUAGAGGAAGUAAAAGUCGUAACAAGGUUUCCGUAGGUGAACCUGCGGAAGGAUCAUUANUCGUACAAAAUGUGAGAGGGGCAUGCGAGGGCUGUCGCUGACUCAAAGUCGUGCACGCCCGAGUGUGUCGCCUCACAUAAUAAUCCAUCUCACCCUUUGUGCAUCACCGCGUGAUCAUCUCGGAGGGGGCUCGCGUUUUCACACAAAACCCCCCUUUUAAAAGUGUAGAAUGACCUCAUUUAUGCGCUAACCCGCAAUCAAUACAACUUUCAACAACGGAUCUCUUGGCUCUCGCAUCGAUGAAGAACGCAGCGAAAUGCGAUACGUAAUGUGAAUUGCAGAAUUCAGUGAAUCAUCGAAUCUUUGAACGCACCUUGCGCCCCCUGGUAUUCCGAGGGGCACACCCGUUUGAGUGUCGUGAAAACCUCAACCUCCUUGGUUUCUUCUGGAGACCAAAGCAGGCUUGGACUUUGGAGGCCUUUGCUGGCACCUCUCGCCAGCUCCUCUUAAAUGAAUUAGCAGGGUCCUCUUUGCUGAUCCUCGACGUGUGAUAAGAUGUUUCCAUGUCUUGGUUUCUGGCUCUGUCACNNCUUUGGGACCCGCUUCUAACCGUCUUCAACCUUGCGUUGAGACAACGUUCGAGCAUGUCUCCCUUCUCGGGAAGCUCCCUCGACCCCACGAACCCUUGACCUCAAAUCGGGUGAGACUACCCGCUGAACUUAAGCAUAUCAAUAAGCGGAGGAAAAGAAACUAACAAGGAUUCCCCUAGUAACUGCGAGUGAAGCGGGAAAAGCUCAAAUUUAAAAUCUGGCGGUCUUUGGCCGUCCGAG